GAUGAACGCUGGCGGCGUGCUUAAUACAUGCAAGUCGAACGCGCCGGCAAGGGUACUUGUGCCUUCCAGCGCGGGGGGCGAACGGGUAACAAACACGUGGGAAACCUACCCUUCAGCGGGGAAUAACCAUCGGAAACGAUGACACAUACCGCAUACUCGUUCCAGUCGCUGGACUGGAAUGGGUUAGGCGGCUUCGGGUGUCACUCAAGGAUGGUCCGGCGGUGCAUUAGCUAGUCGCUGGGGUAACGUCCUACGGUGGCUUUGAUUGGGAGCCGACCUGGGAGGCUGAUCGCCCACAUGGGGACUGAGACACGGCCCAAACUCCUACGGGAGGCAGCAGUAGGGAAUCUUCCGCAAUGGACGCAAGUCUGACGGAGCAGCGCCGCGUGUGUGAAGAAGGUCUUCGGAUCGUAAAGCACUGUUAUCAGAGAAGAAUAGCCUAUAGCGUAGCUGUUGUGGGUUUGACGGUAACUGAUCAGAAAGCACCGGCUAACUACGUG
rnacentral:rRNA from 1 species